rnacentral:rRNA from 1 species
CAGCCGCCACGGGAAUACGGAGGGUGCAAGCGUUAAUCGGAAUUACUGGGCGUAAAGCGCACGCAGGCGGUCUGUCAAGUCGGAUGUGAAAUCCCCGGGCUCAACCUGGGAACUGCAUUCGAAACUGGCAGGGUAGAGUCUUGUAGAGGGGGGUAGAAUUCCAGGUGUAGCGGUGAAAUGCGUAGAGAUCUGGAGGAAUACCGGUGGCGAAGGCGGCCCCCUGGACAAAGACUGACGCUCAGGUGCGAAAGCGUGGGGAGCAAACAGGAUUAGAUACCCCUGUAGUCCCUGUCUCUUAUAA